GUGGGGAAUAUUGCGCAAUGGGGGAAACCCUGACGCAGCAACGCCGCGUGAGUGAGGAAGGACUUCGGUCUGUAAAGCUCUGUUAAUGUGGAAAAAUGGUAGUUGGUCUAAUAGGCCGAUUAUUUGAUGGUACACAUAGAGGAAGCACCGGCUAACUUCGUGCCAGCAGCCGCGGUAAUACGAAGGGUGCAAGCGUUGUUCGGAUUUAUCGGGCGUAAAGCGCGCGUAGGCGGACCUGCAAGUCAGAUGUGAAAUCUCGGGGCUCAACCUCGAAACUGCGUCUGAAACUACAGGUCUAGAAUCUCGGAGGGGGAAGGGGAAUAUCGCAUGUAGGGGUAAAAUCCGUAGAUAUGCGAUGGAACACCAGAGGCGAAGGCGCCUUCCUGGACGAGUAUUGACGCUGAGGCGCGAAAGCGUGGGGAUCAAACAGGAUUAGAAACCCCAGUAGUCC
rnacentral:rRNA from 1 species